rnacentral:misc_RNA from 1 species
AAGUCGUAACAAGGUUUCCGUAGGUGAACCUGCGGAAGGAUCAUUAAAUAAUUUGAUAUUCUGGUUUUCCAGUUAAUAUCCUAUUUUACUGUGAACUGUAUUAUUACAAGAUGUUUGAGGGAUGCUUACUUAACUAUAAGGAUAGGUUAGUAAGAUGUUUAACCGAGUCUUGAUCAAACUUUUAGUUUGGUAUCCUAUUUAUUAUUUACCAAAAGAAUUCAGUAUAAAAUAUUGUAACAUAGACCUAAAAAAUCUAUAAAAACAACUUUUAACAACGGAUCUCUUGGUUCUC